GGAGAGGUCGCCUAGUCUGGCCUAGGGCGCGGCACUGGAAAUGCCGUAAGCGGCAACGCUUCGUGGGUUCGAAUCCCACCCUCUCCGCCA
rnacentral:tRNA from 1 species